CACAUUCUAACACUCUCUCCCUCAAAUUCUCCCAAAACCAUUACCCCAAUUCUUUUACCUACCGCAUCACUUUUCUAAAUUCCACCACCAAAAUCUUUAUUUUUAAUUCUUAUAGUUGUACAUAUAAUUACACUUUUUACACAUUAAAAAACCCUUGAUUUUUAUACAAUUCCUAAUAUACCUUCACUCUAAAAACUUUGUUUUUAUCAAAUAGUCAAAACUCAAAUUUGACAAAAACUCUUAUCAUCUUCCAAAUCACUACCAACUUUAAAUCACCAACCAUAAACACCACCGCAAUCUCAUUAAAACCUUAACUUUUUUUAAUUUAGAAGUUAU
rnacentral:lncRNA from 1 species